GAUGAACGCUGGCGGCGUGCUUAACACAUGCAAGUCGAACGAUGAAGCCCAGCUUGCUGGGUGGAUUAGUGGCGAACGGGUGAGUAACACGUGAGUAACCUGCCCUUAACUCUGGGAUAAGCCUGGGAAACUGGGUCUAAUACCGGAUAGGAGCGUCCACCGCAUGGUGGGGGUUGGAAAGAUUUAUCGGUUUUGGAUGGACUCGCGGCCUAUCAGCUUGUUGGUGAGGUAAUGGCUCACCAAGGCGACGACGGGUAGCCGGCCUGAGAGGGUGACCGGCCACACUGGCACUGAGACACGGCCGAGACCCCUGCGGGAGGCAGGAGUGGGGAAUAUUGCACAAUGGGCGCAAGCGUGAUGCAGCGACGCCGCGUGGGGGAUGACGGCCUUCGGGUUGUACACCUCUUUCAGUAGGGAAGAAGCGGAAGUGACGGUACCUGCAGAAGAAGCACCGGCUAACUACGU
rnacentral:rRNA from 1 species